CACAAGUACCGGACUGGGAGCUGUGGAUGGAGAGAGAGUAGCAAAGGGCUGCAAAGUGGUACCCAGCGAUGUCAGUCAGCAUCAGGGCCCUGUGGAGUUGGAUGCCGUACAAAUACAUGCAAAAGCAAGACCCUGCUUCCCAAGGCGCUUACAUUCUAAGAAGACACGUGCCAUAUGGUGCUGCUACCACUGGGCCUGUGCCAUGCAACCUCUUGGGUUGGGUAAAAAUUGGGCAGCCCCGCUGCACAGCAUGUACAAGGAAAGCAAGCCUGACAUCUCAUAGCCUACAUCAGCUGCAAAAGAAAGGACGUCAGGGGGCCAACAGCAGUCACUGAAGGGCACUGAAUGCCAAGAAAUUCCUCACCAGACUCUGUCAUUGAUCUGAAAUUGGCAAGGAAAGAGGAAAACUGGCCCCUGGAAAAGAGAACACAAUUAACACCCAAGUGGCUCCAAUUCAUGGGUGUCUUUCAACAUCUC